rnacentral:lncRNA from 1 species
CAGGGCUUAAGCUUCCUGAAAGCCUGGGAGUCCUAGAUUACCGUGACUCAUUCAAAGGGUACUUAGAAGAUAGAAUUCUGCUCCUAGGAACUUGUACACUCCUGACACAAGUCUUGGGGAAGUGUCAGUGAUGACUGCUGCCAAAAACUGGGUUGGAUUUGUAUGAAGCUUCGGGACAGGGUAAUCCAGCUGAUCCAGUGCGAUGACUUUGACAUGUAAUAGACCAAGGAAUUCAUUUGUGUCAGGGUAUGGAGCCUUCAGCUUGGACCAUCGCCCAUGUGGCUGGACCUGUAGUGUACAGGAUGCAUGAUGGGUGAAGUAAAUUAAAAGAUUAGAGGUGUAGGGAACUCAUGCAGGCUAAACCAAAGAGGAGAAGGCAAAGCUGACCAAGCCAUCAGACCACGCCUGAUGCUGACAGCGGUGAAAUAUACCUCGUGGGCGACUCGGUAACGUCUGACAACCUUCAAAGAAAGGAGAAAACAAAAAGUUGUAGGAGAGGAAAAAAAAAUGGAUGAAGGUGAAAAAAAAAAAAAGAAGGAAAAAGCAGCAGUGAGAGGCAGGCAGCACAAAGCCAGCAUAUCAGCCAACCCUCGUCUAUAGGUCUGUGGGCUUGGGGAGCAGCUGGGACAGCGGCAGCAGGGACUUGAGUCUGAAGCACAUUCAGAGCAAGGGAAAGCAAAGGCUCACGGCAGCGCAGAGAUCCAGGAUGCUGAUAGAGUGGGGCUGGAACAGAGGCAGUGCUGAGAGGUGCUUAAGGCCAGAGCAGCCUCCUGGCUAAGGCUACAAGGGACAUGGUAGAGAACCACGUGGUUCUGGACACAGGGGACUGCAGACCAUGGCUCAGAUGGCGCUUUCCCUGGGCCAAGAGCCUCUCUGUUCACUGCAUCUCCUGGGAUCCAUUGCUGGAAAUCAUGAGUUCACCAGGUAAUUAUGUUCCUAGAUGGCCUUCGGAAGCAGCCAUCAUCAGGGGAGUGCGGCCCUGCUUGUCUGCCAUGUUGACAUCAGCUCCAUGCAACCUUGGAAGAGUCCAGCACAGACAGGCCAGAUGUAGAAGAUCCAAUGGAGAAUUCUGAGGCCCAAGGUGAUUUUAGAACUACUACACGGAAGGAGCCUGCCCAGACAUCUGCACUGUACUGUGAGCUGGUGCAGAUUGAGAAUUCUAGCAGUUUGGGAGAAGUUAAAGCCUCUCAACAGGGAACACUGCAUUUAAAGGAUCCUGUAAACUGCAGCACCAGGAAAACCAUAGUCCAAGUCUUCAUUCUUCAGCUUGCAGUCACGUCACCACCAUAUGCUGUACACUAGAGUAUUUAUGGCUUGAAUCACACAUGGAGCCAGUCUUAUCUCAGGCAACCAUGCUGUCUGCAUCAGUAUAAGAUAAAACUGUGCUAAUGACAGGAGGGCAUG